CUGCCUGGAGCAGAGGCCGUUUGUCUCUGGGGCUGGAAGCUCAAGGAGGGUCACUCCUCAAGGCUCUCAAGCUAGCAGACAAAAAUUCGACGUACGCCGCCCUCCCCGCUUACGCUGGCACCGCUCAGUUGCCUUGGUAACCGCAAAAAACGAGGGCUCCGACGGGAACCUCUGAAAGUCUCGCGAGAGCGGCAAAUAUCGCGCCGCCGCCGGCCCUCUGGGAAACGUUGGUCCGGGUCCACAAUACCUGUGCAGAUCCCGACCGGAUGCAGAGAAUCGAGCCGUCGGCCUUCCCGCGUGCAGACGAGUUGUCUGCACAGCCUGAGAGUGUGUUGUGGCGCGGCCCUACAUUGCCGAGUCGGCCCACACAGCACUGGCGAACGGAAACUCGGACACUCGCUCCUCCGGAGGUGUGGCCAGCUAUAGUCUAAGCAUCUCUCACGAUUGGGACCUCACGGACCUUCGGACCUUAAAGGUGAUUUCCUGCAGAACGGAAAGUUCUCGCCGGAGUUCAUGGCUAACAGUUAAGUCACAACUUCCAGGCCCCCCCACCCCCACCCCCUUACCAGAUCAUCUCCCAAGAAUAAUAAUGGAUAAUCCAAAAUAAGAAUAGAAAGAGUUUUAUUUGAGCCAAACUAAUGAGUAGACUGGAAGCUCCUUUCCCAGAUUACUCUGAGAAACUGCCCCAGCGAAGCAUCGUUUUCAGUGCAGUUUUGCAUUUUGUAAGAACAAAGAACUUUAUACAAGUCAGGGUUACAUUUCUUCUUUUUUUUCUUUUUUAAGGACCAGAUGAUUAAUAUACAGCAGGUCAGCAUGGCCUUGGCACCUGGAAAGCAUCUCUUAUCAUCACAUCAAAGGUGUCCCAGGAAGAGGGGCAUUUAAUCUUUAUUUUUAACAUGGGCAUUUUUUACUUCUGGUCAGCGUACCCUUUCCUUUAAUUAAAGCAGAUGUACAAAGUGUGUUUGAUAGACCACAAACAGGCUAUUUUAGUUAGGAUAAAAUUCAAGU
rnacentral:lncRNA from 1 species